rnacentral:rRNA from 1 species
GAUCCUGGCUCAGAUUGAACGCUGGCGGCAUGCCUAACACAUGCAAGUCGAACGGUAACGCGGAGCUUGCUCUGCGCUGACGAGUGGCGGACGGGUGAGUAACGCGUAGGAAUUUGCAGUCGAGGGGGACAACUUGGGGAAACCCAAGCUAAUACCGCAUACGCCCUACGGGGGAGCGGGGGAUCUUCGGACCUCGCGCGAUUGGAUGAGCCUGCGUUGGAUUAGCUAGUUGGGGGUAAAGGCCUACCAAGGCGACGAUCCAUAGCUGGUCUGAGAGGACGAUCAGCCACAGGGACUGAGACACGGCCCAGACUCCUACGGGAAGCAGCAGUGGGGAAUAUUGGACAAUGGGCAACCCUGAUCCAGCAAUGCCGCGUGUGUGAAGAAGGCCUGCGGGUUGUAAAGCAUUCAAUGGGGAGGAAAAGCGUGUGGUGAAUAGCGACACGUGUUGACAUUACCCAUAGAAAGCACCGGCUAACUCCGUGCCAGCAGCCGCGGUAAUACGGAGGGUGCGAGCGUUAAUGAAUUACUGGGCGUAAAGGGCGCGUAGGCGGUUAAAUCAGUCAGAUGUGAAAGCCCCGCUUAACCUGGGAAUGGCAUUUGAUACUGUUUAGCUAGAGUUUGGUAGAGGGGAGUGGAUUCCGGUGUAGCGGUGAAAUGCGUAGAGAUCGGAAGGAACAUCAGUGGCGAAGGCGGCUCUGGACCAAAACUGACGCUGAGGUGCGAAAGCGUGGGUAGCAAACAGGAUUAGAUACUGGUAGUCCACGCUGUAAACGAUGAGAACUAGCCGUUGGGGGUAACUAAACCUUGAGUCGCAGCUAACGUGAUAAGUUCUCCGCCUGGGGAGUACGGCCGCAAGGCUAAAACUCAAGAAUUGACGGGGGCCCGCACAAGCGGUGGAGCAUGUGGUUUAAUUCGAUGCAACGCGAAACCUUACCUGCCUUUGACAUCCUCGGAACUUUCUAGAGAUAGAUGGGUGCCCUUUGGGCCGAGAGACAGGUGCUGCAUGGCUGUCGUCAGCUCGUGUCGUGAGAUGUUGGGUUAACCCGUAACGAGCGCAACCCUUGUCCUUAGUUGCCAGCACGUUAAGGUGGGAACUCUAAAGACUGCCGGUGAUAAACCGGAGGAAGGUGGGGACGGCGUCAAGUCAUCAUGGCCCUUAGGCAGGGCUACACACGUGCUACAAUGGUCGGUACAGAGGGUAGCGAACUCGCGAGAGAGCGAAUCUCACAAAGCCGAUCUUAGUCCGGAUUGGAGUCUGCAACUCGACUCCAUGAUCGGAAUCGCUAGUAAUCGCGGAUCAGAACGCCGCGGUGAAUACGUUCCCGGGCCUUGCACACCGCCCGUCACACCAUGGGAGUGGGUUGCACCAGAAGUAGGUAGUCUAACCUUCGAGGGCGCUUACCACGGUGUGGUUCAUGACUGGGGGAAGUC